UUCUAAACUCAAAUCAGGUAGGAUUACCCGCUGAAUUUAAGCAUAUUAAUAAGCGGAGGAAAAGAAACUAACAAGGAUUCCCCUAGUAACUGCGAGUGAAGCGGGAAGAGCUCAAGCUUAAAAUCUGCAGGUAUUAAAUUACUUGCCGAAUUGUAGCUUAUGGAGGCAGUUUUCAUCUCUGCGGCGUGGUAAAAGUUCUUUUGAAUAAGACAUCAAAGAGGGUGAAAAUCCCCGUAUUUGACCAUGCUGGGAAUACUAAAAGUAGGGAUAUGUGAACUGUUUUCUUUGAGUCGGGUUGUUUGGGAAUGCAGCCCUAAUUUGGAGGUAAAUUUCUUCUAAAGCUAAAUACUGGCAAGAGACCGAUAGCAAACAAGUACCGUGAGGGAAAGAUGAAAAGCACUUUGAAAAGAGAGUGAAAAGUACGUGAAAUUGUUGAAAGGGAACCAGUUGGUAGCCAAGCUUCGAUAAAGAUGGGGUAACUUGUCUUUAACGAGGUCAACAUCGGUUGCUAUUUAGCCGCCUGAGAGGAAUUUUGUAGGUUAGCGGAGUAAGGUAGAAUGUAUAGGGAUUUAUCUCUAUUCAUUUGUUAUAGACUCUAUGAAUCUGCUGUAAUUAUGCCUUGAGGCGGUGGCGACCGAGGUACGCAGUGUUUGCCUUUGGCAAUGGAGAAAUUUAGGAAGGUAUGGUUUUUUUGGUUUUUAUAGACAGCUUGCUGACUAUGAUGGCAAAAGAAUAUAUCUCAUCUUAAAUUUUUACCCAGAAACACUUGGGAUGUUGGCGAAAAGGCACCAAUUGACCCGUCUUGAAACACGGACCAAGGAGUCCAACAUAUAUGCGAGUAUAUGGGAAUUUAAACCCACAUGCGUAAUGAAAGUGAAACAUUUUUGAGUGUGACCGAUUUCCUUUUGGAAGUUGAGCAACACCAACCGGCUUUAGAUAGCGUUGCUUGACAAAGCUGAGUAAGAGCAUAUAUGCUGGGACCCGAAAGAUGGUGAACUAUGCCUGAAUAGGGUGAAGUCAGAGGAAACUCUGAUGGAAGCUCGUAGAGAUUCUGACGUGCAAAUCGAUCUCCAAAUUUGGGUAUAGGGGCGAAAGACUAAUCGAACCAUCUAGUAGCUGGUUCCUGC
rnacentral:rRNA from 1 species